rnacentral:rRNA from 1 species
UGGGGAAUAUUGGACAAUGGGCGCAAGCCUGAUCCAGCCAUGCCGCGUGAGUGAUGAAGGCCUUAGGGUUGUAAAGCUCUUUCGCCGGUGAAGAUAAUGACGGUAACCGGAGAAGAAGCCCCGGCUAACUUCGUGCCAGCAGCCGCGGUAAUACGAAGGGGGCUAGCGUUGCUCGGAAUCACUGGGCGUAAAGCGCACGUAGGCGGAUCGUUAAGUCAGGGGUGAAAUCCUGGAGCUCAACUCCAGAACUGCCCUUGAUACUGGCGAUCUCGAGUUCGAGAGAGGUUGGUGGAACUCCGAGUGUAGAGGUGAAAUUCGUAGAUAUUCGGAAGAACACCAGUGGCGAAGGCGGCCAACUGGCUCGAUACUGACGCUGAGGUGCGAAAGCGUGGGGAGCAAAACAGGAUUAGAUACCCUGGUAGUCCACGCCGUAAAACGAUGGAUGCUAGCCGUUGGGGGGUUUACCUCUCAGUGGCGCAGCUAACGCCUUAAGCAUCCCGCCUGGGGAGUACGGUCGCAAGAUUAAAACUCAAAGGAAUUGACGGGGUCAUAGCUGUUUCCU